rnacentral:rRNA from 1 species
GACGAACGCUGGCGGCGUGCUUAACACAUGCAAGUCGAACGGUGAAGGGGCCUGCUUUUGUGGGCCCUGGAUGAGUGGCGAACGGGUGAGUAACACGUGAGUAACCUGCCCCCUUCUUCUGGAUAACCGCAUGAAAGUGUGGCUAAUACGGGAUAUUCUGGGUCUGUCGCAUGAUGGGUCUGGGAAAGAUUGCGCCUUUGGGUGUUUUUGGUGGGGGAUGGGCUCGCGGCCUAUCAGCUUGUUGGUGGGGUGAUGGCCUACCAAGGCGGUGACGGGUAGCCGGCCUGAGAGGGGGGACGGUCACACUGGGACUGAGACACGGCCCAGACUCCUACGGGAGGCAGCAGUGGGGAAUAUUGCACAAUGGGCGCAAGCCUGAUGCAGCGACGCCGCGUGAAGGAUGGAGGCCUUCGGGUUGUAAACCUCUUUCGCCAGUGAAGCAGGCCUGCUCCAUGUGGGUGGGUUGACGGUAGCUGGAUAAGAAGCGCCGGCUAACUACGUG